UUAUAAUAAUAUAAAAAAAAACAAUUACUUAUAUACUCCUGAAAAGUUCUUGACUUUCUGAUUUAUUCUUUUUAGAAGGCUAAUAGUGAAAAUAUUAUUUUUACGUUUCAACUUAUUUCAAAUAUAUUCCUAAAGUUAAAUUCUGUUAAUGAACUGUUAACAAUAGUUGUUAUCUCUACAAAAUUUUUAUUUUUUUUCUUUCAAAUAUAUCCUUCUAUCAUCACCAUUUUUUUUAUUUGCGCCAAAAAAUAUUUUAAUUAUUUGUCUUUCCAAAUAUACCCUUCUAUCAUCACCAACAUUUCUAAUUUGCUCUUAAGUUAAGGACAAAAAAAGUAUUUUAAUUUUUUUUAACUAUGUUAGAUAUUUAACUCACAUUUAACCCAAAUUAAUUUAACGGGUGAUAACUGUAUGAAUAUUUUAAAAUAAUGGAGGAAUAUAUAAAGGGUAUAUUAGAAAGAAAAAAAUAGUAGGAAUAAAUAAAAUAUUUUUAAAAUUUUGAGAGGUAUAUAGACAAUUAUUCCAAAAAAAAAAUAAAGAGAUAUA
rnacentral:lncRNA from 1 species